rnacentral:rRNA from 1 species
AUAGAUACCCUGGUAGUCCACGCCGUAAACGAUGAGUGCUAAGUGUUAGAGGGUUUCCGCCCUUUAGUGCUGCAGCUAACGCAUUAAGCACUCCGCCUGGGGAGUACGGUCGCAAGACUGAAACUCAAAGGAAUUGACGGGGGCCCGCACAAGCGGUGGAGCAUGUGGUUUAAUUCGAAGCAACGCGAAGAACCUUACCAGGUCUUGACAUCCUCUGACAACUCUAGAGAUAGAGCGUUCCCCUUCGGGGGACAGAGUGACAGGUGGUGCAUGGUUGUCGUCAGCUCGUGUCGUGAGAUGUUGGGUUAAGUCCCGCAACGAGCGCAACCCUUGAUCUUAGUUGCCAGCAUUUAGUUGGGCACUCUAAGGUGACUGCCGGUGACAAACCGGAGGAAGGUGGGGAUGACGUCAAAUCAUCAUGCCCCUUAUGACCUGGGCUACACACGUGCUACAAUGGAUGGUACAAAGGGCUGCAAGCCGCGAGGUCAAGCCAAUCCCAUAAAACCAUUCUCAGUUCGGAUUGU